rnacentral:rRNA from 1 species
AAUGAACGCUGGCGGCAUGCCUUACACAUGCAAGUCGAACGGAAGCAUGACGUACUUUGUUCGGUUGCUGUAGCGUGGCGCGCGUGUGUGUCAUGCGUAGGACCGUCCCUUUUAGCGGGGGUAACCUCGGGAAACCGUAGCCAAUUCCGGAUAAUUCUUUGAACCGGAAGGUACAGUAGUUACAGGCGUUGUUCCUGACACGUGGCGGUUGUCGCAUUCCGGAUUAGCUAGUUGGUAAGGUAAAGGCUGACCAAGGCAACGACGCGUAGCCGAGCUGAGAGGAUGAUCCGCCACACUGGAACUGAGACACGGUCCAGACUCCUACGGGAGGCAGCAGUGGGGAAUUUUGGACAAUGGGCGCAAGCCUGACCCAGCAACGCCGCGUGAGUGAAGAAGGCCUUCGGAUUGUAAAGCUCUGUUAGCUGGGAAGAAAAAGCAUUCUCGAAUACAGGGUGGGGAUGACGGUACCAGCAUAAAAAGCACCGGCUAACUACGUG